rnacentral:rRNA from 1 species
UACGGAGGGUGCAAGCGUUUAAUCGGAAUUACUGGGCGUAAAGCGUGCGUAGGCGGUUCGUUAAGUCUGUUGUGAAAAGCCCCGGGCUCAACCUGGGAAUGGCAAUGGAUACUGGCGAGCUAGAGUGUGUCAGAGGAUGGUGGAAUUCCCGGUGUAGCGGUGAAAUGCGUAGAGAUCGGGGAGGAACAUCAGUGGCGAAGGCGGCCAUCUGGGACAACACUGACGCUGAGGCACGAAAGCGUGGGGAGCAAACAGGG